CUUGGGGGACACAGGUUCAGUGGUGACAUUGGUGGCAGGGGGAUGGUUGCACCAGGUGAUCUCGGAGGGCUUUUCCAACCCUCAUGCUUCUAUGAUACAGACCCGCAGACCCGCACAGCAGGGUAAAUACCGCGUUGGGCUCAGCAGGAAACUUCUGAAGCUGCAGGCACGGGGAAUUUCUGGACCCGAGCGGGUUCCUCCCCGACGCCCUGCCCGACCCCGUCCCCGUCCCCCGCCCCGCAGCCGCUCCUCCUCCUCCGCCCCCUGCGGCCCCAGCCGGCCCGGCGUGCUCAGGGAAGCCUGCACCCUGCUUUUGUACUGGAUGCCUGCAACAUCAGGAGCCACAACCACAAGUUGAGUAUAUUAGCAUAAGUCCUCGGGUCAGUGUUUAUAAAACGAAGGGUAUAACUCUCCAGAAAUACUAACUGAAUGCAAAUAGGAAAGGAAAUCUUCUCUGCCUACUCGUAGUUGUCACUUCCCUGGCUGUCACCAGUCACUAUUUUUUAAGUUUCUUGGUAGCUGCAGGGAUAGGACUGAUUGAAGGGCCUUAUUUCUUAGGGUUUGGUUUUAGGUGUUUAGUGUUAAAGACUAACAUUUAACGUGCAGAUGUCAGCCUGAUGUAAAUUCAAAGGAAAAUGAAACAAUUGCAUUUCCUUUUGUGUAUAUCAGUAAAGACCUUUAUGGUUUGGGUUUGGAUGGACAUGCUUUGAGUGUUGUAAAAGAGCUUUGCAGCUACUCCAGCUGAUCCAGAGGCUUCUUUCUCAGUUCAGUUACUACAGAUGAUGUGCAGAUAAACCGUCUUUUUUUUAGAGGAUUGAAAAUUAAAAAAAAAAAAACAAAAACAACAAAAAAAAAACCUUAAAAAUGAAAACUUUUAAUGAUAAAAUGGAUACACUAUAAAGUUAACAAAGCUUACUUUUGGUAUUCAACACAGAAUCAAUGCCUCUGGCUUUGCACCUCUCUACAGUGCUGCUGGCAUCAGUCCUGAAGAGAUACACCAGCUAAUAAGAAAUUUUAUUUCUCUCAUAAUUAUUUCUGCACUGGAGAAGUGAAUACUUUCUUCAGGGGGAGCACUGGGCCUAAAUUCCUUCGAUGUCUUUGUAGAACAAGAGAAAGUGCUUCCCUGAGUGUGACGAUGGAGAUUAAGAAGGCGUUUU
rnacentral:lncRNA from 1 species